AGUGAACGCUGGCGGUAGGCCUAACACAUGCAAGUCGAACGGCAGCACAGUAAGAGCUUGCUCUUACGGGUGGCGAGUGGCGGACGGGUGAGGAAUACAUCGGAAUCUACUUUUUCGUGGGGGAUAACGUAGGGAAACUUACGCUAAUACCGCAUACGACCUACGGGUGAAAGCAGGGGAUCUUCGGACCUUGCGCGAUUGAAUGAGCCGAUGUCGGAUUAGCUAGUUGGCGGGGUAAAGGCCCACCAAGGCGACGAUCCGUAGCUGGUCUGAGAGGAUGAUCAGCCACACUGGAACUGAGACACGGUCCAGACUCCUACGGGAGGCAGCAGUGGGGAAUAUUGGACAAUGGGCGCAAGCCUGAUCCAGCCAUGCCGCGUGGGUGAAGAAGGCCUUCGGGUUGUAAAGCCCUUUUGUUGGGAAAGAAAAGCAGUAGGUUAAUACCCCGCUGUUCUGACGGUACCCAAAGAAUAAGCACCGGCUAACUUCGUG
rnacentral:rRNA from 1 species